UUGCGAAAUUGGUGCGCCGUGUAUGCUCUGACUCCACAGACAAGGUAUGAGAGUAGAUCAUGCUAAGUCAAUAGCGGUUUGGUCUUCAGGGUUUCUACUCCACGGCUAUAUUUCAUACGGGUCCACAUUUCAACAAUCAAGUACCGUCUCUUUGCAUCUGGACAGAAUCUGUCUCUAUACCGUCAUUUUCUUUUGAGCUACGUUUCAGAAUGGUUCGUAGCAAUCUUGUUUUGAUUCGUGACCUGCCAAGAUGGUGCUGCGCUCCCACAAUGCAUUGCGACAUUACGUCAACUCCAAAGCCCUUUGCGUGCAGGAGUGUAUGCGCAUGCGCAUUGCCACGGUGGUUUAAAAAAUAAAGAUAUAAUGAAAAGUAAUUAAUAAAAAUUAAAUAUUUAAACAUUCCCACAAAUGUGCAAUGAACGUGCAAAAACUCUCUUUAGUAGUUGUUGCUGUUUCUUUCUUUCUUCUUUUUUUUUUUUUUGAAAAAUAACGACGUCUCUGAGGUGCGAAAUUUGACAGCGAGAGGAACGGCCGGAUACAGGAGACGGGAAGAAACAAGCCGAUUAUGUUCGCGUUAAUUAAGUGGUUGGAAGAUGUAAAAUUCUCAAUUCUGCCAACUGAACAUAUACGAGAUUUUAAUGAGGAUGAAUAAUUAGCCGGCAUGGAGGAAACGGACCUUUAUUUCAUGGAGUGGCGACAAGAAGCCAAGGCGGGUGGCCAGUCUAAGAAGCCUCCAUCAUCAAGCUAGCAGAAAUCCUACCUCUCCUUCUGGCUACAGAGUACUUACCAAGCCCAUGAAAUCGAAUGCAGAUCUUCCUAAUGUGAGAUUUACAUAAAUAUGUCAAAGUCUCAACCUCAUGCUGCCCUCCCCCAUCCUCCUAAAGUAAGUAUUUGUUGUUGUAGUUUUUUAUGCGGUGUCUGUGUCACAUGCUAAUCAUAAUUAUUGAAAUAACUGUUUUCUAACAGAUUUUCCAAAACACUAGUUAUGUUUGUUGUCAUUCAGACCAAUACUACUGCUUAGACAUUGCAUAUGCAUAGAUACAGUCGUAGUGCUUGACACAUGCAAACAGCAGUAGAUGUACUAAAAAGGAAAUAAUUACAAUCAUGAUGUUGAUUGCUGAUGUCAGUAUAUAUAUUUUAGAGGAAUGUUUUGUUUUUCACCCAAAAUGAACUAUAUUGCUUCAGAAGAGAUUUAUUACCCUACCGGACUCUUAUAUAUUGUUCUGUUUUUUGUUUGUUUUUGUUAUUUUCAGGUUCAAUGGUGCGUGUUCUUCUAAUGGCCGCCUUCCCACUGGAGGUUUUGAUCCACAGCAAUUUAAAAGGUAAUCAGCUUUGAAAGUCAGUUCAAAUGGUUAGCUAAUAGUACUUUAAAAAGCCUACAACUCUGUCACCAGUUUCUUUACCAAAAAUUACCCAUAAAAGUAUCGCUCAAUAGCAUAUAUUGUAGUUCAAAUGUUUAGUUGUACAAAUAUCAAAUUUUUGGAAAUCUAAAACUAGUCAAACACUCAAAUGUUCAUGCUUUUUAUAGGAGGACAGAGCAAAACGGACAUCGGCGCAGAGUGAAGAACUGCCCUUGAUAAGGACACUAUGACAGCCAUAUAUAGUAAGUGAAGACUUUCUGUGUAUCUAAAAUUGCAUACAGCACAAGUAACUUACUUUGCAACCAUUAAAAUAGGUUGUAAAGUAAGUUACCAAUACAAAUAGGUGAUGAUGCAUUGUAGUGGUUGGUCUCAGACAAAGAAGGUCAACAGAUUUAUGAAUGCUGGAAGGUAAGGAGAGACGACCAAAAGGGGUGUUAGCAUUACUGUAAUGUGAACUGGAUAGACUUCCCAUCUAGGAAAAAAAAGAGGUAAAAUUAUGCGUAAAAUAUAUCUGUAUUAAUAUCUGUAUCUAUAUAAACAGAAAUAUCUGUU